GUGGGACCAGGAGGGGGUCCUAAUGCCUGUUGCACAGGCAGUGAGACUUAUUCUGUAGCCUUCUUGUUAGACUAACUUCGUAAAUCAUUUUCUGUUUUAGUCAUAACAGAAAUAUGAAAGCGCCCCUGUGUUCUGAAUGGAGCUCCCGAUCAGCACGCAUUGCCUCUGCAUGGCAUUCCUUACUGGUAUAAAUGAGGUUGCAGGGUGGGGGUACCUCUCUGGUGUGCCAGCUGAAAGAAGACAGGUUUCAAAACAGAAAAUAAUAUUCAGUUGAUUGAAUCUAAACACAAAGUACGACGCGCCGGUUCGUGACCUGCGCGCAAGUUGAUUUUGAAAGCUGACGUUUGCAUUUUGAAAGUUGAAAGCAGAUCCCAUUAAAGGCUCGUGUGUCUCUGUGGGUCAGAUUGAAUGUUUUAUCUCCCAAAGCAGGUGUAAUAGUUUGUACUUUGUUACCUCACAGAACAGUACCGAAGCUGUCCGUGAUAAUUACACUAAUCGUCUUCCAUCUCUGAAUAUCGUGGCUCCGGGGCGCUUAAACUGGAUCAGCCCCGUACCAUAAUGAGAUUUCAUGGAUCUAACUAUAGAUUCAGUGUGUGGGCAUACUUGCGAACACACACAGCUUCAAUGCAGGGUUUCAGCAUGUUAUAGCCGCGUAUAAGAGUUAGCUUUGCUUGUUUAGUACACGGAUGGCUUUCUCUGGGUGCAGGAUUCCUGCAGAGGAACGGUUCGGUUGAGACGGCUGUGAGGAAACCCAGUCCCGUUAACCACCAUGGGAGGAUUACACGCAAAGAAGAAAACUACAGCAUCAGAACACCCCCCUCUCACCUGGACACUGACAGCUCCCAGAAUUUAAUUCAGCCCAGAAAAGUAAACAGCCCCGUCCUGGAAUCACAAAACCACCAGGACCUGCACAGAGAGCUUGUUCUGAGCUGCAGACGUACGAGCAGGAGCAGAUGAAACCGAAAGAAGACCAGGAGAAGGUGCCUGAGUUUGUGAAAGUGAAGGAGAAUCUCUGCCGGCUCAAACUGAAUGGGGAGUAGGGUAGGAGCUGCUUGAUCACCAGGAGGGAGAGGGAAAACACGGCCGGAGUCUCGAAUCACUCGAACCUGCCAAGGAGACACAGCCCCUUUCAAACAGAGAAAAUAAACUUCAGGGUUCCAGGGUUCUUCAUCAUGAGAUGAUGCCAUGUUUAUGAGUGUGUGCAUGUAUGUAGGUAUGCAUUCAUGCACAGUAAGGUGCAUAAUUCAGUUUAGGGCUUUUAGAUUCUGAUUGAUGGUGCUGUAUGAUGUUAAAUGGGAUUUAUCAUAUUAAGUUAAAUAAUGAUGCAAACUAUCUUAGGCAAAGAAAUGUGAGGUGGCUGUGUCACAUGAAUAUCACGGCUGCUAUGCAAAGUGUGAUUCGUGACACCAAGGAUGCACUCAAAUAUCUGCAAGCACUGUUCAGUAAAUUAUUCUUCAACGAUUGCAAUAAAAACAAAAAAAAAUCUAAUUCCACUUUUAACGUUAGAAGUUUGCAAAAUGUUUCGAUUUUAUUUUUAAACCUGUUUGCGUCUGUUUGCAACACCUGCGGGUGUCGAGCGGAAGUUUUCAAACUGCAAACCACCAGGCGGAUGUAGUCUAGAAAGAAAAAGAAAAAAAAAAAAAAAAAGAUACACAGCUCGCGCCUGAGAUGCGGUAAUUCCAUCCAAGGAAACCACAAGCAAAUCUGAUCUGCCUCAAAGAGAGCGCUUCCUCUGACCCGUUUCAUCUGAGAACCCCGUGAACACGCUCAAGAGAGUCCGAUCUUCAAACCGACUGAGUUAUUAGAACCCUCAAUACGGCCUCAAUAGCGCUCUCAGAGUCAUGUCUAACCUCCAGGUAAUUCGGUACAGCGGGGGUUAACUGUGGCCCGAUCGCACCAGACCAGCUGUGACGUCAGUUUAGGCUACCUGUGCAAACGUUAAAAAGGUCUUACUGUGCGUAUUGCGCAUGCCCAGGCUAUUUUCAACCUGCACCGCGCAUGUGUAGAUUCCCCCCCUUGAAAUCUGCUCUCUAUUUUUUUUUUUUGGAUGUGAAAGUACCCGUUGUGUUUACAUUUUACUCGACAUGUAUUAAUUCGUUUGAUAUUAAAUACAGACAGCUGAUGCUAACGGCCGGUAAAGCGUACUGUAACGCAGCUCUUGCAUUGAAAGAGCCUUUAGUCACUAUGCACCUGUAUUGUGGAACAAUCUCCCAACUGAAAUGCGUAAAGCUGACUCCAUACAUGCAUUAAAUCAAAGCUUAAAACUCAUCUUUACGCAGAGGCCGUUCUGUACAUUGGAAUAGGCCUCUUUUAGAUUUUUGUUCAUAUGUAUUUUAUU